rnacentral:rRNA from 1 species
AUUGAACGCUGGCGGCAUGCUUUACACAUGCAAGUCGAACGGCAGCGCGGGCUUCGGCCUGGCGGCGAGUGGCGAACGGGUGAGUAAUACAUCGGAACGUGCCCAGUAGUGGGGGAUAGCUCGGCGAAAGCCGGAUUAAUACCGCAUACGACCUGAGGGUGAAAGCGGGGGAUCUUCGGACCUCGCGCUAUUGGAGCGGCCGAUGGCAGGUUAGCUAGUUGGUGGGGUAAAGGCCUACCAAGGCGACGAUCUGUAGCUGGGCUGAGAGGACGACCAGCCACACUGGGACUGAGACACGGCCCAGACUCCUACGGGAGGCAGCAGUGGGGAAUUUUGGACAAUGGGCGAAAGCCUGAUCCAGCAAUGCCGCGUGUGUGAUGAAGGCCUUCGGGUUGUAAAGCACUUUUGGCGGGAACGAAAAGGACUGUGCCAAUACCACGGUUCGAUGACGGUACCCGCAGAAUAAGCACCGGCUAACUACGUG